AGCAUUUAGCUAGUCAAAAUGAUGAAAAAUGCUACCUAAACAUUUACCUAACUCCACUAAGUAGCAUAGAAACUUGAUAAACAUAACUUGUACACUUGGUAAAGCUGAUUUAUCAAUCUAUCAGCACCUAAUUACAUCAAACAUGCUAACAACUUAGUUUAUAUCUAACUAAGUGGCAAAAACAUCCACUUGAAAAUAACAAAACAUCAGCAUGAGCUUCAGCAGCAACUUGCAUGGCUCGGGCAGCUUGGUCUGCUUCAUGGUCUGCAUGGAAGCCAACUUCAACAGCCCCAUCUCAUCGGCCUCUUCAUGAACAUCUUCAAGAUUCUCAUUAUCUUCCAUAUUGGCUUCUUGUUUCCAUAACUACUAACAUUGACAUUGACGUUUCUUCAUUAAUUUUUUUCCUAACAACAUUACCUUACAUCUCUCCAUUUCAAUCCAAACUCUCUAGUCAUAGGGAUUUUUGUAUUCAUCCACCCACGAACAGUGUGCUUGGCUCUAUCAAGUGAGGUGCUUACCCGAUUUGUCUUCAUAUGAUUCAAGCUCAGUCUUAUUUAUCAAGCCUAAUUCCUUUGGAUGCUACUUAGGCCCAACUAGACAUGUACAUCAUCCAAUGAAUUUUGGUUUUCUUCAGGCAAAUCUCCUUUACAUGUCCAUAUUGUAAUGGCCCAAUAUUUCCCGGCCCGAUAAAUAAAUAAAACCAAUACAAAAACAAAAUUAAAAGUCCAAUAAACAUGUCCAAUUUACAACAGGCCCAAAUAGCCACUAAACCCAAACACACUAGGCCCAUUAAAAUUUGAACCCAAUUUGCCUAGACCCUACCCCAAUCACGAAAUAGCCCAAUCCAAAUUUCCUAAUACCUAACCUAGUCAGCCCAAUACACCACCUAAUUACAUACCAGAAAUUAAAUAACGAAACCCAAAAUACAUUACCCAAGCCCAAACCUGAAUGCAUUAAGCCCAAACGGCGCCAGGUUUUCUACAGUUUCAGAAGCCCUAAGGGUUUCUAGAACUUUCAGCGCCGUAGCCACGCCUCCGAGCCGAGCCACGCCACACGCCUCCGUACACACUAGCUGGCCCUCCUGCACGCCGUACCUGCAAAGGACAAACAAACAAACAAAGCAGAAGAGGCAGAGGAAAAGGGGUAGAAAUCGACAGCAAAUCAAAGAAAAUGAUAAAACCAUUUUUGUAAUAUUCGGCAAUAUAAAAAUCCGAUUGAUUCAUUUUUGUCAGGUUACAUACACGAAUAUGGAAUAGAAAAAAAGGGAUUCAGAUCAAAAAAAGGUGAUUUUGAGUUUUUUUCUUCUUCGUUCCUCUCGAUUUUUCUUUUUUCGACUUUUAGAUUUCUUUUUCCUUUAUUUACUAUUUGAAAAAGGGAAGCGAAAGGAAGGUGAAGGUUUUUACCUUUGUGGCAAAGUCGAACCCUCGUCCUCUUCGUUGUAAUCGGAGAUAGGACGAGGAAUCGGGGCCUCCAAGCGUCAGUUGGGCGAACGGCGCACAAAGGGGAGGAGAUCUUUUUUUUCUAGGGUUCCAUAGAUUUUUU
rnacentral:lncRNA from 1 species